CUACGGGCUGCUCCAGUCGAGAAUCUUCGGCAAUGGACGAAAGUCUGACCGAGCGACGCCGCGUGCGGGAUGAAGGCCUUCGGGUUGUAAACCGCUGUCAGAGGGAAGGAAAUUUUGACCGAUCCUCAAAGGAAGUACGGGCUAAGUUCGUGCCAGCAGCCGCGGUAAGACGAACCGUACAAACGUUAUUCGGAAUCACUGGGCUUAAAGGGUGCGUAGGUGGUCUAUUAAGUUGGGUGUGAAAUCCCUCGGCUCAACCGAGGAACUGCGCUCAAUACUGGUAGACUUGAGGGAGAUAGAGGUGAGCGGAACUGAUGGUGGAGCGGUGAAAUGCGUUGAUAUCAUCGGGAACACCUGUGGCGAAAGCGGCUCACUGGAUCUCUUCUGACACUGAGGCACGAAAGCUAGGGGAGCGAACGGGAUUAGAUACCCGAGUAGUC
rnacentral:rRNA from 1 species